rnacentral:misc_RNA from 1 species
AAGUCGUAACAAGGUUUCCGUAGGUGAACCUGCGGUUGGAUCAUUACUAAAUGAUACUCUUUUUAUACUGCAUAGGAUCGUAAAAAAGUCCUAUGUAGUGUAAAAAACACCAUGUGAACCUUUUUCUGUAUUUUGUCUUUGCUGAUGUUCGGUGUGUAAGUCUCGGCUUAUGCAUACGGUCGGCAAUGGCAAACAUAUAUAAACACUUGUUUAUUUAUGCAGUCUUAAAUACUUUUUCUAAAUGAAAAAACAACUUUUGACAACGGAUCUCUAGGCUCUC